GCAAUCUGGUUUCCCUUCAAAACAAAUAAAUCUUUUGCCUUUUACUAAAGAUUUCCAUGGAGGGGAGCAUUAAAUGAGUCUGUUUUGGAAAUUUUUUGUAGUUCUUGGCUAUCCUGAGCU